CUUCUGCUUCUUCUUCUUCUUCUUCUUCUUCUUCUUCUGAUUCUUCUUCUGCUUCUUCUUUGUCUGCUUCUGCUUCUGCUUCUUCUGCUUUUUCUUCUUCUUCUGCUUCUCGUUCUGCUUCUCGUUCUGCUUCUCGUUCUGCUUCUUUU
rnacentral:sRNA from 1 species